ACGUCCAGAAACCGCUUAGGCGCCCGCCUAGGCGACUAAGCGCUGGGCGCCAAGUUCGACGCUUAGAAGCCCCAGCGUUUAAUGUAACAUUGGACGGAGGAACAUAUUCCACUCAAUGCCUAUCCUAGAUUUUGACAGAAAUUGUUUCUUGAGAGAGCUGGAGCUUUGAGGGCUCACCCUGAUGAUGCAUUAGUUAAUUUUAUGAGUGCAGCAGUUGUUUGCCGUGAAAAUGCACCCAUAAAUCUCUUGAGGAUAACACUCAAUGAGUAUAGAUCUUCCUUUUAUUAUCCUAUCAGACAAUACAGAUGGCUAUGACGUCUAAAGUCCAGGAAAUGCAUCUUGACUUCACUGGUGGAGGUCACUUCCUCCCAUACGGUCGUUAUGCUAAUGACCCAUUUUGGGCCUAUCACUGUAAUAUUGACACUCGUUGCCGGAACUAUUACGCAUCCCAUGAUAAUGGAUACUCAUCUUCAGAGUUGGAUUUAGCAAGUGAAGAUUCAAGCAGUAGUGAUUCAGAUGAAGGACCACAUAGCUCCUUUUUUGUCAUGCUUCGAGCUCUGUUCAGCUAUGCGUCUCUGCGAGUUUUGAAACUGGCAGGGUGCUGUAUAACUAAUCCAGGCCCUAUGAAUUUUGGGAAUCUUACUUGUCUGGUGUUUAUAGAUGUUAAGAUCUCUCAGAAAAAUCUCCACAAAGUGCUUCCCAUUUGCUGCUGUAAGCUUGAGGUGUUGGGACUUACAAGAUUUCGUCAAUUGAAACAUCUUGCAUUUCUGAUCCAAAACUACUUAGCCUGAAGUUAGAAUGCUGCCACUUCCGGAAGAAAGUUAUGAUCCAUGCACAAGAGCUCCAACACUUCAAGCUUGAUUUGAGUAAUACUAGAGAAGUGUUUUCCUAAAAAUUUCCUUCCCUGGUUAAAGCUGAAAUAGGUUUUUGUAAGAAAAUAAACUGUACUAAUGUGGGACGGCGGGCUGGCUAUCUAGUGAAACUUCUCAAGGAUCUCGGUCAUGUUAAGGAUCUGGUUUUGUAUAGCAGAUUUCUCAAGGACAUGGACAUUCCGGAGAGUCAAAUGAAAAGCUUUACUAUGUCAACAGUCACGCGACUUGAGAUGAUUGAGAAAAUGGGAAGACAUGCUAUCUCAACAAUAUUUAGUUUACUCAAAGCUUUCAGUAACUUGGAGUCCCUUUGUCUGACCAUCGUUCAACCCUAUAACUCAGAGGAAAUUGUCAUUGAUUAUGAACUCGGAAAAUAGAAGAAUACUUCCACAAGUUUGGAGUCUAAUCUGAGAGAAUUGAAAAUAAAAGAAUUUCAAGGAAGUAAUAUUGAGAACAAGAUGCUGAAAUUCUUGCUGGAUAAUUGCAAAGCCUUGUAGAAGGUCGAUAUCGGGAAAUACACUCCGUCAUUGUCGACCCAUGGAGAGCUUAGAGCAAAGUUGUCGUUGUACUGCACCUUGAAAGAUCUCAAAUUGAACUAUUAUUUAUCAUGAGUUUUCGGAAGUGAGAUUUCGGAUACUUCUUAUAUAGGUACCUCUGUGUUUAGUGUUUCUGUUUUUGUAAGGGAGCUCCAGUUCCUGGUUUCAUAAGUACUAUGCUCCAGUUCUUGCUUUUUCUUAAACUUUGGCAUCUUGCUUUGGGCAAUGCUUAAAUGCAAAACUUCUGUUCUUUGAAAACAU